rnacentral:rRNA from 1 species
CCUACGGGAGGCAGCAGUGGGGAAUCUUGCACAAUGGAGGAAACUCUGAUGCAGCGAUGCCGCGUGAGUGAAGAAGGCCUUUGGGUUGUAAAGCUCUUUUGUAGGGGAAGAUAAUGACUGUACCCUAAGAAUAAGGUCCGGCUAACUUCGUGCCAGCAGCCGCGGUAAUACGAAGGGACCUAGCGUAGUUCGGAAUUACUGGGCGUAAAGCGCGCGUAGGCCGUUGAGUUAGUUAAUUGUGAAAUCCCAAAGCUUAACUUUGGAACUGCAAUUAAAACUGCUCGACUAGAGUUUGAUAGAGGAAAGCGGAAUACAUAGUGUAGAGGUGAAAUUCGUAGAUAUUAUGUAGAACACCAGUUGCGAAGGCGGCUUUCUGGAUCAACACUGACGCUGAGGCGCGAAAGUAUGGGUAGCAAAGAGGAUUAGAUACCCUCGUAGUCCAUACCAUAAACGAUGAUUGCUAGAUGUUGGAAAUUUAUUUUCAGUAUCGCAGCUAACGCAUUAAGCAAUCCGCCUGGGGAGUACGACCGCAGGUUAAAACUCAAAGGAAUUGACGG